rnacentral:rRNA from 1 species
UACGAAGGGGGGCUAGCGUUGCUCGGAAUCACUGGGCGUAAAGGGUGCGUAGGCGGGUUCUUAAGUCAGAGGUGAAAUCCUGGAGCUCAACUCCAGAACUGCCUUUGAUACUGAGAGUCUUGAGUUCGGGAGAGGUGAGUGGAACUGCGAGUGUAGAGGUGAAAUUCGUAGAUAUUCGCAAGAACACCAGUGGCGAAAGGCGGCUCACUGGCCCGAUACUGACGCUGAGGCACGAAAGCGUGGGGAGCAAACAGG